GACGAACGCUGGCGGCGUGCUUAACACAUGCAAGUCGAACGGAAAGGCCCUGCUUUUGUGGGGUGCUCGAGUGGCGAACGGGUGAGUAACACGUGAGUAACCUGCCCUUGACUUUGGGAUAACUUCAGGAAACUGGGGCUAAUACCGGAUAGGAGCUCCUGCUGCAGGGUGGGGGUUGGAAAGUUUCGGCGGUUGGGGAUGGACUCGCGGCUUAUCAGCUUGUUGGUGGGGUAGUGGCUUACCAAGGCUUUGACGGGUAGCCGGCCUGAGAGGGUGACCGGCCACAUUGGGACUGAGAUACGGCCCAGACUCCUACGGGAGGCAGCAGUGGGGAAUCUUGCACAAUGGGCGGAAGCCUGAUGCAGCACCGCCGCGUGCGGGAUGACGGCCUUCGGGUUGUAAACCGCUUUCGCCUGUGACGAAGCGUGAGUGACGGUAAUGGGUAAAGAAGCACCGGCUAACUACGUG
rnacentral:rRNA from 1 species